UACGUAGGGGGCAAGCGUUGUCCGGAAUCAUUGGGCGUAAAGCGCGUGUAGGCGGCCUGGAAAGUCUGGUGUGAAAUCCUGCGGCUCAACCGCAGACUGUCACUGGAUACUGUCAGGCUUGAAUCCGGAAGAGGAGUGUGGAAUUCCGUGGUGUAGCGGUGGAAUGCGCAGAUAUCAGGAGGAACACCAAUGGCGAAGGCAGCACUCUGGUACGUGAUUGACGCUGAGACGCGAAAGCGUGGGGAGCAAACAGG
rnacentral:rRNA from 1 species